AACGAACGCUGGCGGCAUGCCUAACACAUGCGAGUCGAACGAGACCUUCGGGUCUAGUGGCGCACGGGUGCGUAACGCGUGGGAACCUGCCCUUAGGUUCGGAAUAACUCCCCGAAAGGGGUGCUAAUACCGGAUAAUGUCUUCGGACCAAAGAUUUAUCGCCUUUGGAUGGGCCCGCGUUGGAUUAGCUGGUUGGUAGGGUAAAAGCCUACCAAGGCGACGAUCCAUAGCUGGUCUGAGAGGAUGAUCAGCCACACUGGGACUGAGACACGGCCCAGACUCCUACGGGAGGCAGCAGUGGGGAAUAUUGGACAAUGGGCGAAAGCCUGAUCCAGCAAUGCCGCGUGAGUGAUGAAGGCCUUAGGGUUGUAAAGCUCUUUUACCCGGGAUGAUAAUGACAGUACCGGGAGAAUAAGCUCCGGCUAACUCCGUG
rnacentral:rRNA from 1 species